GCAAUGUGGAAGUGGAUUCCAGGACUACUAGACCAGACGGGUGGGGGAAAAGUCUAGACGAGGCUGAAAUUUUUGACAUAGGUGCCCUCACGUGGGAUUUACAUUUGGCUUAAGCCCUGAGAGGGUGGUUAAUGACUAAUUGAAGCUGGAAUGAGGAUGGUUUAGAAUUAAUCAGGUAAAACUGCUUGAAAUCCCUGGUCUGCUGUACAGGACCGAGAUCAAAGGCUCAGGGAAACGGAACUGUAGAAAAAGAUGUACUGUUUGCAACUGACUCGGCCACCCCCGAAUCACAGCCCCCUCCCGGGAGCGGGCUAGAGGACACUGCAUUGGCGAAUCAUGCAGAAUUGCAGCUCUGCUCAAAUUCUUGGAAUAAAGAACUUCUGUCUGGCUUGUCUGCAAACCAGAGACUCCUGGGACCUCCUCCCUCCUGAGAGCUAGUUGUCCCCUAAAAGCUCCCACCCCCCGCCAUUUUCCAGAGACGGGAGAAGGGCUGGAAAUGGAGUUAAUAAUUGGUCGUGCCUACGUGAGGAAACUGCCACAAAGUCCCAACAGUAUGAGGUUUGGAGAGCUUCCAGGGUGGUGGAUGCAUCCAAGUGCCUGGAGGGUGACGCACCCCAGGUCCAUGGGCACUGAAGACCCUGCACUCAGGACCCUCCCAGACCUCACCCUCUGCAUCUCUUCAUCUGAGUGUUUCUCCGUUUCCCUUAUAACAUCUUUCAUAAACUGUGAACUUUUAAAAAUGUAAAUUGACCUACACUGUGGGAUAUUUAAAGUGACGGGAGAAGAGACAGACUUGGAAUUGCAUUUGAGCAUUUUUAGAACACGAUUCAGUGACCAGAGUGAUUGCCUACUACCCAGAGUACCAUGUAAGGGCUGAAAACAUCUUGAAGGAACGUGGACAAGGAAUGAAGAUCAGGGCCACUCAGCACCUGCGCUCUUUCCAUGGAUGGCACGAGAGGCUUUCAGACACGACACGUCCCAGGGUGACACCAAUGCCCGAGAGAGUGAUGCUCAAACUUGGAUCACACCGGAAUUCCCUGGAUGAGUUGUUAAAGCACAGAUCACUGGCCCUACCCCUGGAGUUUCUGAUUCACAACCGACCCCGACCCACAUCUCCAGGAUCAGUGUCACCGAGCAGCUCUGCCACCUGUGAACGCGGGAAACGAGAUGCACUCUGCAACUUACCACACCUGUUAAGUGAUAUUCCCCGUGCUGUUCGCAUCCAAUGUCAAACACAUACUUUCCAGGGCCAACAGGCUACGAGCAAAGAGAAACCAAGAGGUGCUUCACCCGUGAGUGGCAACACCCAGUAGAAAGUACAAAGAGCUUUAUAAAUGUUACCUUCAUAAAACCUGCCCAAAGGCUUGGAAUUGAGGGAAAGCCAACAUGGAUUAAAGAUGCUUUUUUGAACUGAUGGUUAACAGAAUUGCAAAGUAUAGGUCCUCUUUGGUUUGGUUAAAAAUUUUUUUUCUCUUUAUAAAAGUAAUGUAUUUAUGACAAAAAUUUGACUUAGUCAACACCCAUAGUCAAAUUAGCCAGAAAUAAAACUACCCAUAAUACUUCGAUGUAGUCUCUGUAACCUUGUUCUUAAUAGAGAUUUUAAAAAUAAAAAUCCCAUCGUAAUUACA